rnacentral:rRNA from 1 species
CACGUAGGGUGCGAGCGUUGUCCGGAAUUAUUGGGCGUAAAGAGCUCGUAGGCGGUGUGUCGCGUCGGCCGUGAAAACCUGCAGCUUAACUGUGGGCUUGCGGUCGGUACGGGCAUCACUGGAGUUCGGCAGGGGAGACUGGAAUUCCUGGUGUAGCGGUGAAAUGCGCAGAUAUCAGGAGGAACACCGGUGGCGAAGGCGGGUCUCUGGGCCGAUACUGACGCUGAGGAGCGAAAGCGUGGGGAGCGAACAGG